UGACAGCUGGUGAAGCCGGUUUCCCUCGGGGCAGGUAGCAAGGUGCUGCAUGGUUGUCGUCAGCUCGUGCCGUGAGGUGUUGGGUUAAGUCCCGCAACGAGCGCAACCCUUGUCUUCAGUUGCCAUCCCGCAAGGAGGAACUCUGGAGAGACUGCCAGCGUAAGCUGUGAGGAAGGAGGGGAUGACGUCAAAUCAUCAUGGCCUUUAUGCCUAGGGCUACACACGUGCUACAAUGGGCGGUACAGAGGGCUGCGAAGGGGUGACCUGGAGCCAAUCCCUUAAAGCCGCUCCCAGUUCGGAUUGGAGUCUGAAACCCGACUCCAUGAAGUUGGAAUCGCUAGUAAUCGCGUAUCAGCCAUGACGCGGUGAAUACGUUCCCGGACCUUGUACACACCGCCCGUCAAGCCAUGAGAGCUGGGGG
rnacentral:rRNA from 1 species